rnacentral:rRNA from 1 species
GACGAACGCUGGCGGCGUGCUUAACACAUGCAAGUCGAACGGAUCACAUUGCUUCGGUUUUGUGGUGAGUGGCGAACGGGUGAGUAACACGUGAGUAACCUGCCCCCUUCUUUGGGAUAACGUCGGGAAAUCGGCGCUAAUACUGGAUAUUCUGGUUUCCUCGCAUGGGGUUUCUGGGAAAGGUUUUCUGGUGGGGGAUGGGCUCGCGGCCUAUCAGCUUGUUGGUGGGGUGAUGGCCUACCAAGGCGGUGACGGGUAGCCGGCCUGAGAGGGUGUCCGGCCACACUGGGGACUGAGACACGGCCCAGACUCCUACGGGAGGCAGCAGUGGGGAAUAUUGCACAAUGGGCGCAAGCCUGAUGCAGCGACGCCGCGUGAGGGAUGACGGCCUCGGUUGGUAACCGUACUUUCUAGCAGGAAGGAAGGACGAAAGUAGACGGUACCGUCGCAGAAGAAGACACCGGCUAACUAACGUGCCAGCAGCCGCGGUAACGUAGUAGUCGU